AUUGAACGCUGGCGGCAUGCUUUACACAUGCAAGUCGAACGGUAACAGGCCGCAAGGUGCUGACGAGUGGCGAACGGGUGAGUAAUGCAUCGGAACGUGCCCAGUCGUGGGGGAUAACUAUCCGAAAGGAUAGCUAAUACCGCAUACGAUCUGCGGAUGAAAGCGGGGGACCUUCGGGCCUCGCGCGAUUGGAGCGGCCGAUGUCAGAUUAGGUAGUUGGUGGGGUAAAGGCUCACCAAGCCAACGAUCUGUAGCUGGUCUGAGAGGACGACCAGCCCCACUGGGACUGAGACACGGCCCAGACUGCUACGGGAGGCAGCAGUGGGGAAUUUUGGACAAUGGGCGCAAGCCUGAUCCAGCAAUGCCGCGUGCAGGAAGAAGGCCUUCGGGUUGUAAACUGCUUUUGUACGGAACGAAACGGCUCUGGUUAAUACCUGGGGCUAAUGACGGUACCGUAAGAAUAAGCACCGGCUAACUACGUGCCAGCAGCCGCCGCCG
rnacentral:rRNA from 1 species